rnacentral:rRNA from 1 species
AGAGUUUGAUCCUGGCUCAGGACGAACGCUGGCGGCGUGCCUAAUACAUGCAAGUCGAACGCUUCUUUUUCCACCGGAGCUUGCUCCACCGGAAAAAGAGGAGUGGCGAACGGGUGAGUAACACGUGGGUAACCUGCCCAUCAGAAGGGGAUAACACUUGGAAACAGGUGCUAAUACCGUAUAACAAUCGAAACCGCAUGGUUUUGAUUUGAAAGGCGCUUUCGGGUGUCGCUGAUGGAUGGACCCGCGGUGCAUUAGCUAGUUGGUGAGGUAACGGCUCACCAAGGCCACGAUGCAUAGCCGACCUGAGAGGGUGAUCGGCCACAUUGGGACUGAGACACGGCCCAAACUCCUACGGGAGGCAGCAGUAGGGAAUCUUCGGCAAUGGACGAAAGUCUGACCGAGCAACGCCGCGUGAGUGAAGAAGGUUUUCGGAUCGUAAAACUCUGUUGUUAGAGAAGAACAAGGAUGAGAGUAACUGUUCAUCCCUUGACGGUAUCUAACCAGAAAGCCACGGCUAACUACGUGCCAGCAGCCGCGGUAAUACGUAGGUGGCAAGCGUUGUCCGGAUUUAUUGGGCGUAAAGCGAGCGCAGGCGGUUUUUUAAGUCUGAUGUGAAAGCCUUCGGCUCAACCGAAGAAGUGCAUCGGAAACUGGGAAACUUGAGUGCAGAAGAGGACAGUGGAACUCCAUGUGUAGCGGUGAAAUGCGUAGAUAUAUGGAAGAACACCAGUGGCGAAGGCGGCUGUCUGGUCUGUAACUGACGCUGAGGCUCGAAAGUAUGGGUAGCAAACAGGAUUAGAUACCCUGGUAGUCCAUACCGUAAACGAUGAAUGCUAAGUGUUGGAGGGUUUCCGCCCUUCAGUGCUGCAGCUAACGCAUUAAGCAUUCCGCCUGGGGAGUACGGCCGCAAGGCUGAAACUCAAAGGAAUUGACGGGGGCCCGCACAAGCGGUGGAGCAUGUGGUUUAAUUCGAAGCAACGCGAAGAACCU